CUUACCGGGUCCGGACGUGCUGAGGAUUGACAGGUGUUAUGUAAUAUUAUUAAUAAGCUUUUAGUUUAUAUAUGUGUUGCAUUCAAAGAUGCUAGUCCUUUCAUGAUUGUGCGAUAGGUGGUGCAUGGCCGUUCUUAGUUCGUGGAGUGAUCUGUCUGCUUAAUUGCGUUUCGCAACGGGCUUUCUAUAACGCUAUAUUUUAUGCGCCAACGUUUUUGUGUUCAAUUUGUUUUUUUUUAUGGCUUUUGGCAUUAAUCCCCUCACUUAAUUGUGUGCGUGUUGGUUGGUGUUAGGCUGUUUUAAGAGGCAAGUUUCGAAUACCGUUGGGUUUCGUCAUAAUGUAGCGGGAACGCCCCGAAAGCAACGAACGUGACCGCAGCCUCUUGUUGCCUCUUUUCUCAAAAAAUGCUUUACUCUUCGGAGUAGGAUAUUUCAACCACAGAGGCUAACUAGAGGGACCGCUCGACUUUUGUUAAAACAGAGGAAGGUUGCGGCAAUAACAGGUCUGUGAUGCCCUUAGAUGUUCCGGGCUGCACGCGUGCUACAAUGAUUAUUGCAGUAAGCAUCUUAAUUGUUCCUAAUUGCAAUUUUUAUUGUAUUAGUGAACACAAGCAAUUAAAAAGCAAAGGGUUGUUUAGCUCUUGGUCUUGUAUUGUAUAGUAUUUGAGUUUUUUUGGGUUUUUUUAUAUAAGCUUCUGUUUGUAUGAGAGAAUUUGAGAAGCGAGGGUAUUGUAUGUGCAUUCGAGAGUUGCGACUCAUUUGUUGCUUGUACAACCUACUUCGAAAGUCAGUAGGCAAUCAAUUCUAAGUAAUGAUUUCCCAAUUCGCACAUAUUUAUGUUUCAGUUAUGCUGUCCCGCAAUAAGAUAUAUUUAUAUGUUUUGUUGCGUUGUGACAUUUAUAAAGCAUACUGGUAGCAUGUGCUCCCCUUUUUAAUUCGUGGUGGGGACAGACCAUUGCUAAUUGUUGGUCUCGGUCUCAACUAGGAAUGCCUUGUACGGGUCUUUGGUUCAACAAACCACCCGGAAUACGUCCCUGCCCUUUGUACACACCGCCCGUCGCUCUUACCGAUGGACUUCUCUGUGAGUUUGAGGGACUGGCUCGAAAGCGCCUUGUGUGUUUUGAGCUAUGGAAACUUACACGAACAGUGAGGUCUAAAGGAAAGAAAAGUCGUAACAAGGCAUCGGUAGGUGAACC
rnacentral:rRNA from 1 species